rnacentral:misc_RNA from 1 species
CACAAGCUAUGUGUGACUGAGAGUUUUGAGGUUUAUGAUUCAGUAGCGGCGACCACCUGCUGUCGACAGAAGGAUUCGACUCUGUUUCUUUCCUUUCUUUCCAACCUCAUUCUUGGGCGCAUCCAAACUUUCUCCCGUUUUCUCUCUGGAUAUUACAUUGGCAAACGUUGGCGUGCCUGAAUUUUUUGUGCCAGAUACACCAGGUGAAUCAUUCGCUGCUUUGUUGUUCUUAUGCGAAGCACUAGUUUCCUCAAUUUUCAAGGCUGGAGAAUCAUGGCCAGCAGCAAAACCAAGCCUUGCAACAUUCGAGAACAGUAUCCUCUCCCCAACAAGAGGAGGGCUUGAUGACGUUGGAGGACUCGAUGACAUUGUGGUGGAACUUCCAAGAGCUUCAAAGUCGUCAAUGGAAAAUUUAGGGGAGUCAUCACGAAAGGAGUGCUCAAAAUUAGAUAAAAAGGGCACAGAAUGUGCAGCAGCAGCUACUUCAGCCUUGACCUGCUCCUUCCGUUCCUUUUUGGCUAGUUGCUUCCUCUGCUUCUCCCGCUUCUUGAUCUCAUCCAUGAAUGGAAACAGGGCAUCAGGAGGUAGCAUCUCACUCAAAUUAAUUUCACAUAAUUGAAAUGUAGUCGUUAAAGAAAAAU